GAGGGUAUAGCUUAAGUGGUAGAGUGAGUGCUUAGCAUGCACGACGUCCUGGGUUCAAUCCCCAGUACUUCCA
rnacentral:tRNA from 1 species